rnacentral:rRNA from 1 species
CCUACGGAGUGCAGCAGUGAGGAAUAUUGGUCAAUGGGCGCGAGCCUGAACCAGCCAAGUAGCGUGAAGGAUGACUGCCCUACGGGUUGUAACCUUCUUUUGUAGAGGAGUAAAGUGAGGCACGUGUGCCUUUUUGUAUGUACUUUAUGAAUAAAGAUCGGCUAACUCCGUGCCAGCAGCCGCGGUAAGACGGCGGAGACGAUCGUUGUCCGGAUUUAUUGGGUUUAAAGGGAGCGUAGAUGGGUUGUUAAGUCAGUUGUGAAAGUUUGCGGCUCAACCGGAAAAUUGCAAUUGAUACUGGCAGUCUGGAGUACAGUUGAGGUAGGCGGAAUUCGUGGUGUAGCGGUGAAAUGCUUAGAUAUCACGAAGAACUCCGAUUGCGAAGGCAGCUUACUAAACUGCAACUGACAUUGAGGCGCGAAAGUGUGGGUAUCAAACAGGAUUAGAUACCCCAGUAGUC